GUCAUCCUGACCCUCUUCAUCAAUCACGCAGUUUGGUUUCUAUAUAUAAGCCGUCCUGGGACUCCAUCCAGCAGGUUCUGUGUGCAGACUUCAAGGGUGAAACAACCAGCGAGUCAACAUGAAUACCAAAUUUCUGAUCGUCCUAUUGGUCUUCGGCCUCGUGAUGAUGUCCACGGUGUCGGCCAAUGCCUGUAAGCGGGGAUGUAGGGCCCAGAGGGACAACUGCCAGAACAACUGCCUCUCGCGGCCCCUUAGUGAGAGGAGGCAGUGCCGUGACAGGUGCGAGAGGAAAUUCGGAAAAUGCAAACAACAGUGUAAAUCUGGUUGAGAUGUUUCAAGCAUCAAAGAAUAGAAUUCAAAACAAAUAAAUGAAUGAGAAUUGUG